GAGGGUGCGAGCGUUGUCCGGAAUCAUUGGGCGUAAAGAGUUCGUAGGCGGUAUGUAAAGUCCGGUGUUAAAGCCCGAAGCUCAACUUCGGUUCGGCACUGGAUACUUGCAAACUAGAAUGCGGUAGAGGUAAAGGGAAUUCCUGGUGUAGCGGUGAAAUGCGUAGAUAUCAGGAGGAACAUCGGUGGCGUAAGCGCUUUACUGGGCCGUUAUUGACGCUGAGGAACGAAAGCCGGGGUAGCAAA
rnacentral:rRNA from 1 species